rnacentral:rRNA from 1 species
AUUGAACGCUGGCGGCAGGCUUAACACAUGCAAGUCGAGCGGAGAUGAGGUGCUUGCACCUUAUCUUAGCGGCGGACGGGUGAGUAAUGCUUAGGAAUCUGCCUAUUAGUGGGGGACAACAUUCCGAAAGGAAUGCUAAUACCGCAUACGCCCUACGGGGGAAAGCAGGGGAUCUUCGGACCUUGCGCUAAUAGAUGAGCCUAAGUCGGAUUAGCUAGUUGGUGGGGUAAAGGCCUACGAAGGCGACGAGCUGUAGCGGGUCUGAGAGGAUGGUCCGCCACACUGGGACUGAGACACGGCCCAGACUCCUACGGGAGGCAGCAGUGGGGAAUAUUGGACAAUGGGCGGAAGCCUGAUCCAGCCAUGCCGCGUGUGUGAAGAAGGCCUUUUGGUUGUAAAGCACUUUAAGCGAGGAGGAGGCUACCUGGAUUAAUACUCUAGGAUAGUGGACGUUACUCGCAGAAUAAGCACCGGCUAACUCUGUGCCAGCCGCCGCGGUAACAC